GACGGACGCUGGCGGCGCGCUUAACACAUGCAAGUCGAGCGAGAACCAGGGCUUCGGCCCUGGGGACAGCGGCGAACGGGUGAGUAACACGUGGAUAACCUGCCCUCGGCACCGGGAUAGCCCGGGGAAACCCGGAUUAAUACCGGAUGGCCCUUCCGGCUCACGAGCCGGUCGGAAAAGGUAGCUUCGGCCUCCGGCCGAGGAUGGGUCCGCGGCGGAUUAGCUUGUUGGUGGGGUAACGGCCCACCAAGGCUCCGAUCCGUAGCUGGUCUGAGAGGACGAUCAGCCACACUGGGAGUGAGACACGGCCCAGACUCCUACGGGAGGCAGCAGUGGGGAAUCUUGCGCAAUGGGCGAAAGCCUGACGCAGCGACGCCGCGUGAGGGAGGAAGGCCUUCGGGUUGUAAACCUCUUUCAGGAGGGACGAAGCUACUCGGGUGAAUAGCCCAGAGGGUGACGGUACCUCCAGAUGAAGCCCCGGCUAACUACGUGCCAGCCGCCGCGGUAA
rnacentral:rRNA from 1 species